rnacentral:rRNA from 1 species
UACGUAGGGGGCAAGCGUUGUCCGGAUUUAUUGGGCGUAAAGAGCGUGUAGGCGGCCAGGUAGGUCAGCUGUGAAAACUCGAGGCUCAACCUCGAGACGUCGGUUGAAACCACCUGGCUAGAGUCCGGAAGAGGAGAGUGGAAUUCCUGGUGUAGCGGUGAAAUGCGCAGAUAUCAGGAAGAACACCCGUGGCGAAGGCGGCUCUCUGGGACGGUACUGACGCUGAGGCGCGAAAGCGUGGGGAGCAAACAGG